CUGUGGAUGCACUUUAAAAAUUCUAACUGGUUUAUGCACAUUUUAGUAUUACACCAACAUCAGCUAUUGUCCCCAGGAGAACUCAUGUUUGGCUCCAGAAGUGAGAUGCCUUCUAUUCCAUUAUCUAUCUCCUGAUGCAGUCAGUCCACCAUGGAAUGGCCUAGAAGAUCUGCUGUGCCAGAGACCUCAUGACUCACAGGGCUCCAAAAUGCCUGAGCUUAGCAGCAUGCCUACUGAACUGAGACAAAUGAGAAGAGCAGUAAUUUGGGAAGGACAAAUUAUUAAUGGAUUAGGAUCUCCUCUUCCAUGGCUCAUGCAGAUCCACUAUUCAGGCAGCUUUGAUCCAAGCAGCAGUGAGGAUCUGACCCAUUUCUAAGGAAUCAGCAGCUCUGUCCCUUCUCUAAGAAGAACAACUGGAAGGGA